UCUAUUAACAAAACACCUCCUUGACUGUACAUUAGGUCUACAAAGCCUCUAGAUAAUACACAGAGUUUAACUAAGGUCGGGACACACCCCACCAUAUAACUAACUUCUAUACAAUACCAAAGUGACUGGAUAUGACACGGAAAGCCCCGAAGCAAACUGGAGCUCACCAAAAGCAGCUGGGUAUCCUGGCUCCUACUUGUGCGGUGUAUGAGCUGAGGUACCUGUGCCUGCAGCAUAAAAUGCAGGUCCCCCGUGGGGGACGUCAGUACGAAAUA
rnacentral:lncRNA from 1 species